GAUGAACGCUAGCGAUAGGCUUAACACAUGCAAGUCGAGGGGCAGCGAGGGUAGCAAUACCUGUCGGCGACCGGCGCACGGGUGAGUAACGCGUAUGUAACCUGCCCGCAACAGGGGGAUAACCCGGCGAAAGUCGGACUAAUACCGCAUAAAACAGGGGUCCCGCAUGGGAAUAUUUGUUAAAGAUUUAUCGGUUGCGGAUGGGCAUGCGUACCAUUAGGUAGUUGGUGAGGUAACGGCUCACCAAGCCUUCGAUGGUUAGGGGUUCUGAGAGGAAGGUCCCCCACACUUGUACUGCGACACGGACCAGACUCCUACGGGAGGCAGCAGUGAGUAAUAUUGGUCAAUGGGCGAGAGCCUGAACCAGCCAAGUCGCGUGAAGGAUGACUGCCCUAUGGGUUGUAAACUUCUUUUACAAGGGAAUAAAAUGAGAUACGUGUAUUUUAUUGCAUGUACCUUGGGAAUAAGCAUCGGCUAACUCCGUG
rnacentral:rRNA from 1 species